rnacentral:rRNA from 1 species
UACAGAGGGGGCAAGCGUUGUUCGGAAUUACUGGGCGUAAAGGGCGCGUAGGCGGCCUGGUAAGUAGGGGGUGAAAUCCUGCGGCUUAACCGCAGGGCUGCCUUCUAAACUGUCAGGCUCGAGCACGGUAGAGGCAGAUGGAAUUCCCGGUGUAGCGGUGGAAUGCGUAGAGAUCGGGAAGAACAUCAGUGGCGAAGGCGGUCUGCUGGGCCGUUGCUGACGCUGAGGCGCGACAGCGUGGGGAGCAAACAGG